GGGUCAGUAGGUUGGUCGUGCCACCGGUACGUACUGGUCUCACUGAUUCCUCCUUCCUGAAGGACCGUAAUACCAUUAAUUUGGUGUUGCGGGGAAACAGGACUGUUACUUUGAAAAAAUUAGAGUGUUUAAAGCAAGCUAACGCUUGAAUACAUUAGCAUGGAAUAAUGAAAUAGGACGAUCGAUCCUAUUUUGUUGGCUUCUAGGAUUGACGUA
rnacentral:rRNA from 1 species